GAACCCCAGACUGGCAGCGGACUGAGCGGAGCCAGUGGCCAGGACCCUGGCUAGCAGGGGGCUGGGUGGCUGGAACCACAGACCAGCAGCAAGGGGGAAGCUCUUCCAGUUCCUGGUAGUGAAGGAAGGAGGAUACCAGCAACUGUUCCAGGAGAAACAUGGAACUAUGAGCUGUGGUCUUGGCCAGCAAAUCAAGGAAGAUCUACUGUUCCAUAAGUUUCAGAGGGAGCUAUGGGUGUGGCCACUUCUGCUGAGGAAGCUAAAGAUGGACUCAAGUGCCUAAUUUUAGGAACCUAAGUUUGAAAAAUUUGGCCAUGGUAUUUUUUUUCCUCUUUGAAUGUACAGCUCCAACAUUUUUUAAACUUUGCAUUUAAAUAAUGUAUGGCUUAAUUUUCUCAAGAUGCACUACCCUAAGUGAGGCUAAUAUACACAUUUGCAUUAUGGGGUAUUAGAGGUUUAGAUUUGUAAGCAAGAUAAUCAAAUUAAAACCCCAAAUCUGUCUUUAUUAGAAAUGAGGGGAUAUUAACUUUUGACAUAGUACAGUAGAACCUGCACAGGAGACUACCCUUAUUAGGCAUCCCCCUGUCUUAAAAGACUAUGCCAAAAUAUCCACAAAUAUACAGAGUACACCUCUGCCCCCCUUUUAUUAAGCUGCCUCCACGAAGCAAGCAACUUUUUGCCAAAUACCUGAAGUCACUCAAGACAUAUUUCACUGUACAUAAAAUGAGGAAAUAAGAAAUGUUACCUUCUGAGGCUAUGAAGUACUUGGAGAAAAUAAUCUUAGCACAUUUUAUUAAAUUAAUUUAAAAGUUUCUGAUCAAACAUGUUCUUCUGUAAAUUCAGACUUUCAGGGGAAAUUGUUGACUAUUGUUAAUUGCUGGGUUCCUUUUAUAAAGGAGGAAAUAAUUAUUUUUUAAAAAUCUCCUGGAAAAGAGCGGUUGUGACAAAUCUUAGAACAGUAUUUCAGUGCCCCCUCAUUAAUCAAAGAAAAUCCAGAGUUAGUGAAUUUAAUUAUUUGCAAGAUGCUUCCCUUGUCUGUAUAACUGUCUUGUAAU